rnacentral:rRNA from 1 species
UACGGGGGGAGCAAGCGUUGUUCGGAUUUACUGGGCGUAAAGGGCGCGUAGGCGGUCGUGACAAGUCACUUGUGAAAUCUCCGGGCUUAACUCGGAACGGUCAAGUGAUACUGUCGGACUAGAGUACAGAAGGGGCAACUGGAAUUCUCGGUGUAGCGGUGAAAUGCGUAGAUAUCGAGAGGAACACCUGCGGCGAAGGCGGGUCUCUGGGGCCGAUACUGACGCUGAGGACGAAAGCGGUGGGAGCAACAGG